rnacentral:lncRNA from 1 species
UAAUUUGCCAGGCAUUUAUUGAUUGAAUAAAUAUUGUACUAUAUUCAGUGUAUCAAUGAAUGCUUUUGGUUGCAAGGAACAGAAAUGACUUUAACAGUAAGAAAAUUACAUCUCAUAACUAGAAGUCAAGAGACAAAAGAGCUCAACAAUGUUGUAAGAUCCAGGUGCUUUCCGUCCCUCUGCUGUGACCCCUCAGUGUUGGAUUUCCUUGUGCUGCAGGUAGCAAGACAGAAGCAGAAUGUCCGAGGCAUCAUGUUUAGGCAGGACAAUGUUCUGAGACAUUUUUUUACCCUCCUGUGGCUUUCUCUUAGGGAAGAGGACACUUUUUCUAGAUUGCCCCUGCAGACUCACAUUUUAUUGAGCUGAAUUUGGUCACAUGUCUAUCCCUAAACUAAUCCCUGGCCAGGGGAAUGGGAUAUGCCUUUGGACUACUCAGGCCCAACAUGGGGUCUAAAGGUGGGGUCAAGCUUCCCUGAGGCAAAGGCCUGAUGGGUGAAGGGCUGAUCACCCUUCCAAACAAAAUUUGGGCUUUGUUAACUAGGUUUUUUUUUUUUUGACUCUUGACUUUAUUAUUCAAUUUCUUUUUUUCAUUUAAAGUAGUCUUCUGUGGUUGGGAAGCCUCGCCUCCCAAGACCAGAGUCAGUUGGAGCUGGUUGUUGUUGGAAGGGAGUGGGUUGGGGAACUGGGGUGGGGGCAGGGAGACCCCUGCUCUGCUGGCGGUCCUAGGUGGAGAAGAAGAACUGCGCUUCACAGAGUCCGGGGUGUGGUGGGAAGGGGAUGAGGCAGGAGCAGCAAGCUGGGGAGAUGGGACCCACCUGUCCCCAGCUUCAUUUUCUUCUAAUGUUUCCCCACUGGCGACAUUCUCUGCAGUCUUGGAGGCCUUCUUUGUUUUCUUUUUCUGGGUUUUUCGACUUGUAGAACUCUGGAGGAGGGCCUUUAGCUCUGCAUCCUGGACCUCCAUCUCAGACUUGCAGAGGUCAGGCUCGAAGGGACCACUGGUUAUCCGCAUGGGGCCACUGGGCAUGAGCAGAACUGUAAAUUUAAACUGGGCAACAAAUUCACCCUCCUUCUCAUAGAGAACAUUAAAUGGUUGCAGCAGUUCAUGUUUGGCGCACUCCACCACACCCAUCUGAGCCUUCUUCUCAUCUUC